rnacentral:pre_miRNA from 1 species
ACCUUGGCUCUAGACUGCUUACUGCUACGAAGCAUUAAGGAAACAGUAACAGUCUACAGUCAUGGCUA